AUAUGUUGAAUAUUGCUUAUGUUGAACAUUUGGUGUGAAUUUAACUGUACUUUCUUGAUUUAGUUAAUUAAAAUAUAGCAUUUUGUGCAACUGAUGGUGAAUUGCCUUUACUUUCUCCUAAAUGAUGAUGUAAUUUUAGAAGAAGAAACAGUGCCCACAUUGAAAUAAACUCAAGGCCAUGUUUGGUCUUCACUAUAAUUCCCAAGCUAAUUAUAUGUUAAUUAUCCUAGUAUUAACUUUUGUUAAAAAUCUUUGGUACAAGACUUUACUGCUGCAUGUGCGGGAACUCUGCUGAUUCCAGACCUUGUUUCUGACCACAUGUUUAAAUUGCUGCAUAAAAAUCUUGACUAGUCCUAACAUAAUUGCAGCUGGUAAGGUAUCUACAGGUAAGGCUCAGGCAGAGAAACACCAGUAAGUUUGAUUUUGGCAAUACCAAAUGCCUUAAAAGCUUUAAUAUACCUAACAUUUUACAGAUAUAAGUGGUAUGCUUACAAAAGCUUUGAGUCAUCUGCUCCCCACUGCAGCUGCUGGUUCAGCAGUCUUAUCUCACCAGGUAAUGUCUCACCUUGAUGUGUCUGUGGGUUCCACCCAGUGGGCUCAGGGCUGGUUUGCCUUUCCCGUGUGUGUAUUUCAAGGGAUGAGGAUGAGGUGACAGCAUGCCAGAGCCCUUGUAGUACAGGCAGUGGUGAAAGAAUGCUCAGCAAGCAGUGCAGGAAGGGCUGCAGCAGCAGUGGGGACUCGCUUACCACCCAUAGUGCAGUGAUUGUGUGUGGUGGUCUUGGAAACAUUCCAGUAUUGCUCCAAAAAUAGAAUGCACAGCCCCAGCCCAGGUCCACAUCCCAGGAGGGUGAUUUGUGUGCUGUGCUCUUCCAUGCAGAAAGGUGUGCUCUGAAUUCUUCCUGCAGUGUGAAACCUGAGACCUGCUGGGCUUUUUCUGGGGGAGAAACCACUGCUGAACAUCCCUGUGCCUGCAGAGGGACUGUGGGUGCUUGUGCCAUGGUCAUGCUGCCCAGCACUGCUCCAGCUGCCUCUGUGCUGCAAGGAAAGGAUGCACGGACACCACUGCCGCUCUCCCUCAGCUUGGAGCAAACCUCAUCAGAGCAGUGGAGAAACCUCCAGGUCAGUGACAGUGGAACAGGAGGCCUGAGAGUGACCGAGGAGUGUGAAAUGAGCAGAGCAGAGUGUCUGAGGGCUGCAAAGGCAGGAAAUAGGGUUCUGUUCAAAGGCUGGUACCAGUCCCAGCUGACUGUCACACAGAGGUGCAGAGCUGGAGUGGGGCAGUGCCAGGGAGCAGCUCAUCUGGCCUUUGACAGGAACAAACGUGUUUGAACCUGGGUUCAGCUGAGCAAGGGAAAUCCUUCAUCUCAGGGCAGGAUUUCAUUUUGAACUCAGAAUAAUUCAGAGAAACUUGAAUAUCCCCAGCUGGAAAGGACCCCUGUGGAUUAUUGAGUCCUGCUCCUGGGCCUGCACAGGAGACCCCAAGAACCCUACCCUGUGCCUGAGGGUGUUGUCCAAACACUUGAUUGAAAUAAAGCAUACAAUUAACUCA
ensembl:lncRNA